AGGCUCCAUGCCCCCUUGCCGCUGGCAGUCCUCCCUUCUGACUACAGUAUGCUGUAGGACCAGCAGACUUACCUCCAGUCAGGUUCUUUUGUUCGGACCUGCUAACCUUGCCGCAUGAUGCCACAGUGAAGAGCUUGGCUGACCACUGCUUGACCCCACACUCAACACAAAGGCAACCAGCCCCAUACCGACCAAGUCUAAUGAAGUCUUCUCUGCACUGGUUCCAGAUUGGGAUUGUCUUAUUGGAGAAUCAUCAGAUAAUGCCAUAACUAAAGAUAGGUCCUUGGAAACAUCAAGAAUGCCAGAAGAAGAAGAAAAUCCCCAGGAAGCCAAGUCAAUGAGAUCAGA